rnacentral:tRNA from 4 species
GCCCUCGUAGCUCAAUCGGAUAGAGCAGCUGACUUCGGAUCAGCAGGUUGUGGGUUCGAGUCCUGCCGAGGGCGCCA